CAGUUCCAAAGACACGAAUAUUACAAAUCUUAUAUAUAGCUGUAUCUAUGUACAAAAAUGAAAAGUUCCAUGCAAGAGCAAAGGAAGCAGUUCCUUCUCUUAGUAACCGACCCCCUAGGUUUUGUUUGUUCUGCGUGACACUUUCGGGGAACUUCUCAUCUCUGCACGACACGUGUUGAUGCAAGUAUAAAGUCAUCAUUUUGAAUCUUGAGAUUAUUGAGUUAUUACAGUUGAAUUCGAAAGAAUCAUUUAUGGUGAUUCACUUGAUUGCUAUUUUAUGUCGAAACGAGUUUAAAUAUGUUUCCUUGCGU